GACGAACGCUGGCGGCGUGCUUAACACAUGCAAGUCGAACGGAAAGGCCUCUUUCUUGCUGUACUCGAGUUGCGAACGGGUGGGUAAGACGUGCGUAACUUGCCCUUCACUUUGGCUUGACUUACUGAAAGUGACGGGAAUACAUAAUAGGUGCUCCUUCUGCACGGUGGGUUUUGGAAAGUUUGGGCGGUUGGGGGUGGACUCGCGGGUUAUCAGCUUUUUGGUGGGGUAGGGGCUUACAAAGGUUUUACGGGUAGCCCGCCUGAGAGGGUGACCGGCGCCAUUGGGCCUUAGAUACGGCACAGACUCCUACGGGAGGCAGCAGUGGGGAAUCUUGCAGAAUGGGUGGAAGCCUGAUGCAGAAACGCUGUGGGCGGGAUGACGGCCUUAGGGGUGUAAACCGCUUUCGCUCAUGACGAAGCUUUGUGUGACGGUAGUGGGUAAGGAAGCAACGGCUAACUACGUG
rnacentral:rRNA from 1 species